rnacentral:rRNA from 1 species
AGUGAACGCUGGCGGUAGGCCUAACACAUGCAAGUCGAACGGCAGCACAGUAAGAGCUUGCUCUUACGGGUGGCGAGUGGCGGACGGGUGAGGAAUACAUCGGAAUCUACUUUUUCGUGGGGGAUAACGUAGGUAAACUUACGCUAAUACCGCAUACGACCUACGGGUGAAAGCAGGGGAUCUUCGGACCUUGCGCGAUUGAAUGAGCCGAUGUCGGAUUAGCUAGUUGGCGGGGUAAAGGCCCACCAAGGCGACGAUCCGUAGCUGGUCUGAGAGGAUGAGCAGCCACACUGGAAGUGAGACACGGUCCAGACUACUACGGGAGGCAGCAGUGGGGAAUAUUGGACAAUGGGCGAAAGCAUGAUCCAGCCAUACCGCGUGGGUGAAGAAGGCCUUCGGGUUGUAAAGACCUUUUGUUGGGAAAGAAAAGAAGCAGGUUAAUACCCCGCUGUUCUGACGGUACCCAAAGAAUAAGCACCGGCUAACUUCGUG